rnacentral:tRNA from 1 species
AUUCAAAUAGCUUAUAAUUAGAGCGUGACACUGAAGAUGUUAAUGAGGUUUAAAAAUCUUUGAAUA